rnacentral:rRNA from 1 species
CAGCCGCCGCGGGAAUACGUAGGGUGCAAGCGUUAAUCGGAAUUACUGGGCGUAAAGCGUGCGCAGGCGGUUAUAUAAGACAGAUGUGAAAUCCCCGGGCUCAACCUAGGAACUGCAUUUGUGACUGUAUAGCUAGAGUACGGCAGAGGGGGAUGGAAUUCCGCGUGUAGCAGUGAAAUGCGUAGAUAUGCGGAGGAACACCGAUGGCGAAGGCAAUCCCCUGGGCCUGUACUGACGCUCAUGCACGAAAGCGUGGGGAGCAAACAGGAUUAGAUACCCGUGUAGUCCCUGUCUCUUAUAA